ACACGCAUGACACACUGCAUAUCAAUAAGCGGAGGAAAAGAAACUAACAAGGAUUCCCCUAGUAACGGCGAGUGAAGCGGGAAGAGCUCAAAUUUGAAAUCUUAAAGGGUUUCCCUUUACGAAUUGUAGUUUAAAGAAGUGUUUUCUGUUGGAGUUUCGGUAAAAGUUCUUUGGAAUAGGACAUCAUAGAGGGUGAGAAUCCCGUAUUUGACCGUUACUUUCCAGCUGUGUGAUACACUUUCAAAGAGUCGGAUUGUUUGGGAAUGCAGUCCAAAAUGGGUGGUAAAUUUCAUCUAAAGCUAAAUAUUGGCGAGAGACCGAUAGCGAACAAGUACCGUGAGGGAAAGAUGAAAAGAACUUUGAAAAGAGAGUUAAACAGUACGUGAAAUUGUCAAAAGGGAAGCGUUUGACACCAGUGUUGUUUAGUUGAAAAUCAAUUCAAUAAUUUUUGAUUUUAAGUAGUAUUGACUUCAUCAGCUUGCUGCUUUCUUUUCAGGAAUUAUUGAAUGCACUUUUCAGUUAACAAGUCAACAUCAAUUUCUUUUGUUGUAAAAGGGUAAGAGGAAGGUGGCUUACGCUUCGGCGUAAGUGUUUAUAGCCCUUUACCUCUGCAAUCGGAGAGAUUGAGGACAGCAGCGUAGACUCUUCGGGGUUAGAUACACUUGUGCUAAGCUAUAGCCUUGUAUAGACAACUUGUUGACUAUGCUCAGUCAUGUAGCUUACUCGCUUAUGCUAUUUUACCUACGCUUAGGAUGUUGAACUACUGAGACAUAG
rnacentral:rRNA from 1 species